rfam:TPA: Bos taurus chromosome 12, whole genome shotgun sequence.
UCCCUGGUGGUUCAGAUGGUAAGGAAUCUGCCUGCAAUGCAGAAGACCUGGGUUCGAUCCCUGGCUGGGGAA